rnacentral:tRNA from 1 species
UUCCUAGUGGUCUAAUGGUUAGGACUCAGUGCUUUCACUGCUGUGGCCUGGGUUCAAUCCCUGGUCUGGAAC